rnacentral:rRNA from 1 species
CACGUAGUUAGCCGUGACUUUCUGGUUGGAUACCGUCACUGCGUGAACAGUUACUCUCACGCACGUUCUUCUCCAACAACAGAGCUUUACGAGCCGAAACCCUCCUUCACUCACGCGGUGUUGCUCCAUCAGGCUUGCGCCCAUUGUGGAAGAUUCCCUACUGCUGCCUCCCGUAGGAGUACGGACCGUGUCUCAGUUCCAUUGUGGCCGAUCAGUCUCUCAACUCGGCUAUGCAUCAUCGCCUUGGUAAGCCGUUACCUUACCAACUAGCUAAUGCACCGCAGGUCCAUCCCAGAGUGAUAGCCAAAGCCAUCUUCAAACAAAGCCAUGUGGCUUUGUUGUUAUGCGGUAUUAGCAUCUGUUUCCAAAUGUUAUCCCCCGCUCCGGGGCAGGUUCCUACGUGUUACUCACCCGUCCGCCACUCACUGGUGAUCCAUCCGUCAAUCAGGUGCAAGCACCAUCAAUCAGGUUCGGGCCAGUGCGGUUACG